GCCGGAAUGGCGGAACUGGUAUACGCGUACGGUUCAGAACCGUAUCCCGCAAGGGUUGGAGGUUCGAGUCCUCUUUCCGGCA
rnacentral:tRNA from 1 species